rnacentral:rRNA from 1 species
UACGUAGGUGACAAGCGUUGUCCGGAUUUACUGGGCGUAAAGAGCGCGCAGGCGGUCGUUCAAGUCGAGUGUGAAAGCCCCCGGCUCAACUGGGGAGGGUCAUUCGAUACUGAUCGACUCGAAGGCAGGAGAGGGUAGUGGAAUUCCCGGUGUAGUGGUGAAAUGCGUAGAUAUCGGGAAGAACACCCGUGGCGAAGGCGGUUCUCUGGGACGGUACUGACGCUGAGACGCGAAAGCGUGGGGAGCGAACAGG